AAUGGAAGAUAUGAGGGACAUGGCAUGGAUACUUAAAAAAAAAAAUAAAAAAAAAAAAAUUGCCAGAGUCAAGCACAUACAAUUGCAGCCCAUAUGCCAUCAAGUGCAGGGACAUGAAACAAAGCUUGCCCAAAUUGAUCCCCGCUGAAGGCCAAAACACAAAAGAAGGACUUACAAACGCUCUGGAAUGGAGAUCCCACUCCAGGAACUGCAAUUGGAGGAGAAAAAAAAAAUUUUGGAAAUUUUGGGACUACAAGGAAAUGGACCGGGAUUCCAUCCAGCGCAGUGCAAAGGACCAAAACAGGCCAAAACUCACUUGGCAGAUGCUGCAAAAGCAGGGGAAAAAGUCAAGGAGGAACACUGCGCUUGGAGGGCAACAUAUGAGGGACAUGCUAUGGAUAGUCAAAAAAAGAAAAAAAAAUUUCCUCAAAGUCAAAGCCAUGCAAAGGCAUGGCAUGCCAUCAAGUGCAGGGACAUGCACCAAAGAUUCCCCUACUGGUCCCCAUUGAAAUUUCAAUGUUUCCUUUCCCUUCCUGAAAGGUGCUGGAAUUAAAUGGGUCCCUGCCAAAACGUCAAACCAUAUCACAUCCCAGUACAUGUUGACGAGUCCAGAGCCAAGGAAGCAAGUACACAGAUGUGAGCCGAGCAGAGGGAUCCCAGCUUGCCUGACGUUCCUUGUGCCUGACGUUCUUUUUGUAUCGGUGGAACCUGCAAACUCUGAUUUUGUGUUAAUGUUAUUUAUGAGUGUGUCAAUGUAUGUUAAAUGUUUGUUUAACAGAGCUGAGUUUUGGCAAAAGUUUAGGUUUUUGUUUUUGUGGAGAACAAAAUUUAAAAAUUGAUAUAUAUGUAAGGAUUCUGCCAAAACUUAGCUAAUGAAAAUGAUGGAGCGAUUGCAAGUUGUAUGUUGGUAUUGGUGGAUUUUAAUUGUUUUUUGUCGUGCAGAUUUGCCUGUGGAACUACCAAAAACAAAUGUUUGGGUGACCUUAGCCAAGGCAGCUGGCUCGGAUACUAUAUGUUUGUCUAAUUCAGAACCAGAAAAACCUUUUUCAACCUGUCUGGUUGGUGUGCCAGUAAAAGAGUCGCCUUUGGUCAAAAAACAAUCCAAUGAUAAGCCGGGUGAAAUUGACAAUGGAAACAAUCCCUCAUUGAAUUGGAACGUUUGGUCCAAAAAUCUUCCCAGGGCAGCAUCUGAACCCCAAGAAUUAGAAAUCCUUGGCUCUUUAACAAUGGAUUUUUGCUUUACCUUCAUAGCUAGUGCUUGGCAAAAAGGUGAUCCUCCAAAGUACAAUGUUACUACUCAUUAUUUUGCAUACAGAAAUUUGAGUUUUUGGUGUAAUGUUUCAAACAGUUGGGAUGUGCUUCCUGAGACAGAUCAAUAUCCACGCCAAUUGCCGAAGGGGUAUUGGUUCAUUUGUGGAGACAGAGCCUGGCAAGGCUUUCCAGCACACCUUGAAGGUGGCCCUUGUAGCAUUGGGAUGCUCACUAUAAUUGCACCCACUGCCAAGGCGGUCAUGAAAAAUAAACAAAGGAGAAUGAGAGCUGUUUCUCAUUAUGAGGAAAACUGUCAGAGUGAUUUCAGGCCUUGGAAAGCUGCCAGAAGGGUUUCAGCAGGUAUAUUUUUACCCCAAUUGGCUUCAGCAGUGGCACUGAAACAGAUAGAGCUGGAUGCUAGCUGAGCAAACAAGCUAAUGCCACAUCCUCUGCAAUCAGUGAUAUGUUAACCAACAUUUACAGUGUUAGACAUGCUACCCUUCAAAAUAGAGCAGCAAUUGAUUUUCUUUUACUGGCACAAGGGCAUGGUUGUGAGGAAUUCAAAGGACUGUGCUGUAUGAAUUUGUCCAAUCAUUCUGAAUCCAUUCACAAAAGCAUACAAAAACUGACAAGAUUUGACAGCUCAAAUUAAAGAAGAUGGUGGUUCCUGGC